rnacentral:rRNA from 1 species
CAGCAGCCGCGGUAAUACAGAGGGUGCGAGCGUUAAUCGGAUUUACUGGGCGUAAAGCGUGCGUAGGCGGCUUCUUAAGUCGGAUGUGAAAUCCCUGAGCUUAACUUAGGAAUUGCAUUCGAUACUGGGAAGCUAGAGUAUGGGAGAGGAUGGUAGAAUUCCAGGUGUAGCGGUGAAAUGCGUAGAGAUCUGGAGGAAUACCGAUGGCGAAGGCAGCCAUCUGGCCUAAUACUGACGCUGAGGUACGAAAGCAUUGGGAGCAAACAGGAUUAGAUACCCCAGUAGUCCCUGUCUCUUAUAU